UGAAGCACCUUCGGGUGUGAAUUAGCGGCGAACGGGUGAGGAACACGUGAAGAAUCUGCCUUCAACUCUGGGAUAACUCCGGGAAACCGGGGCUAAUACCGGAUAUGAGCCUUGAUCGCAUGAUCGGGGCUGGAAAGUUUUUCGGUUGAAGAUGACUUCGCGGCCUAUCAGCUUGUUGGUGAGGUAAUGGCUCACCAAGGCGACGACGGGUAGCCGGCCUGAGAGGGCGACCGGCCACACUGGGACUGAGACACGGCCCAGACUCCUACGGGAGGCAGCAGUGGGGAAUAUUGGGCAAUGGAGGAAACUCUGACCCAGCGACGCCGCGUGAGGGAUGAAGGCCUUCGGGUUGUAAACCUCUUUCAGUAGGGAAGAAGCGAAAGUGACGGUACCUACGGGGGGGAGCACCGGCUAACUAUGUGCCAGCAGCCGCGGUAAUACAUAGGGUGCAAGCGUUGUCCGGAAUUAUUGGGCGUAAAGAGCUCGUAGGUGGUUCGAUACGUCGGAUGUGAAAAUCAGGGGCUCAACCCCUGACCUGCAUCCGAUACGGUCGAGCUAGAGUUUGGUAGGGGAGACUGGAAUUCCUGGUGUAGCGGUGGAAUGCGCAGAUAUCAGGAGGAACACCGAUGGCGAAGGCAGGUCUCUGGGCCAAUACUGACACUGAGGAGCGAAAGCGUGGGGAGCGAACAGGAUUAGAUAC
rnacentral:rRNA from 1 species